rnacentral:tRNA from 1 species
GCCCUCUUGGCGGAAUUGGCAGACGCGCGCGCUUCAGGGGCGUGUGGCCGCAAGGCCAUAGAGGUUCAAAUCCUCUAGAGGGCACCA